UACAUAGGUCUCAAGCGUUGUUCGGAUUCAUUGGGCGUAAAGGGUGCGUAGGCGGCUCGGUACGUCGGGGGUGAAAUCUCGGAGCUUAACUCCGAAACUGCAUUCGAUACUGCCGUGCUUGAGGACUGGAGAGGAGACUGGAAUUUACGGUGUAGCGGUGAAAUGCGUAGAUAUCGUAAGGAAGACCAGUGGCGAAGGCGGGUCUCUGGACAGUUCCUGACGCUGAGGCACGAAGGUCAGGGGAGCAAACGGG
rnacentral:rRNA from 1 species